GUUCGGGAACUCUGACACAGGUGCUGCAUGGCUGUCGUCAGCUCGUGUCGUGAGAUGGUUGGGUUAAGUCCCGUAACGAGCGCAACCCUUGUCCUUAGUUACCAGCACGUUAUGGUGGGCACUCUAAGGAGACUGCCGGUGACAAACCGGAGGAAGGUGGGGAUGACGUCAAGUCAUCAUGGCCCUUACGGCCUGGGCUACACACGUGCUACAAUGGUCGGUACAAAGGGUUGCCAAGCCGCGAGGUGGAGCUAAUCCCAUAAAACCGAUCGUAGUCCGGAUCGCAGUCUGCAACUCGACUGCGUGAAGUCGGAAUCGCUAGUAAUCGUGAAUCAGAAUGUCACGGUGAAUACGUUCCCGGGCCUU
rnacentral:rRNA from 1 species